UAGUUUUAUUUUGUUGUAUUCAUCCGCGACACCUCAUUGCCGGUCCGUGAAAAUAUUGUCGGGCAUAAACCGGUCCGUGGCGCAAAAAAGGUUGGGGACCGCUGGUUUAAGGCAUGUCGACGUGGAGGUGCAACAAUCAUACGUCACACCACGAUUAAAGGACUUUGAAGCAGGACAGAAGCCUCCUCGGUCCGCUCUUCUCCCAUCCCAUCCGGGACAGUGUGGUACUGGCGGUUGCAGACUUCAGCCAGGUGCAUCCCGGUGACCACGCCCAGCCGAGCCGCCAGCCUCUGCAGCAGCAGGCCGACGAUGGUGGCACCCAGCAGCACCCAGAGCAGCUGAAAGGAUGAGGGCAGAGAACCGAACAGUUAAUCAGAGCCUGUGAGUUGAUAGGUAACAUGAUUGUGAAGUUGCCCUAAGAUCUGAAAAGAAACUGAAGCCAGGAAGUGGCUUAAAACACCACCAGUAAAUAAUGAAACCUC